AGGAUGCAGGGUGGGUCUGGAGGGCCAUGUGGGUCUGGGCUCGCCCUGUAUCCCCUCGAGCUUUGCCCGUCCGGAGCUACGCUGCUCCCGGCGGCCAGAACAGAGGGGUAGAGCAGCACUCGGCGGUCCGGGGGGCUGGGCGGCUGUGCCCGUCCCGGGACCGCGCGAGGCACAGACGCAGCCAGGCCCAGGGCUUCCCACGGGCCACCCGGAGCCUCUGCGCCAACCAAUCAGCUCUUUGUCUCUGCAGCUCGCAGCCGCCGCUAAGCUACACGGGUUCGGGGUCCUGCGGUACCAAGAGAUGAGCCGAAACUUAAGGGGGAUUUCUGCAAUCGAAGGUGGCGCAGCUAGAUUGUAAUAGCGGGUUCAGUGGACUGCUUACUUUGCCCAGACUUGGAGCUGAUCCAAAGCAUAGAAGAUAAGCUCUAGCCCAGCAACGAAGGCCUGUAUCAAGUACUCCUUAUGAGUCAAUCCCUUAGAAAAGCUAUGAGGCUGUUUGUGUAGGGUGGGAAUUAAUUAUAAUUUAUCCCUGAUAAUAUAGGCCCCAAUUACAAGCAUCACACAGGCAAUACAAACAAACAAUGAGAUACAUCCAUGGAACUGACAUGAAAUGUGGAAGUUGAUGACCCACUUACAGGUGGGCUACAAAGACAGGUGUUGUUUUUUUUUAUUUUUGAGAGAGAUACAAAUACCAGAGCACUGAACCAAGGCCCCUUUCAAGGUAAGCCUUUCAGCGUUGAUAGAGUGAGCCUGACACAAAGCAGGUCAUGCUUUACUGGCAGGACCUCUGAGAAGUGGCUGCAAAGCUGCUGGGACUCAACUCCCCUGUUCAUGGAGCAGCUGCGAAACUGCACCUCCUGGUUCUGAGUCCCUGCAGCGGCCACCUCCAGAGGUCAGGGUAGCUCUUCUCAGAUAAGAGAAACUGCUGGAGUUACUUUUCAUUGAUGGUAUAAAUACUAGAUUUCUGGUAACAAACACUAUAGGCCCUGGUGAAUGGGGGUAGACCUGGUUUACUUCCCCUCUCCUUUACCCCUCCUGAAGUCUGGACCAAAAUUCUUUUUUCCAGUGUAGAUUGGUGGGAGUUCUGGCAUCAAAUGGUUUCUCUGGGUUAUAGAUAAGAGUUAGCGGGUCUGUCAGUACAAGGUUCCAAGAAGCACUCCCAGGCUUUACAGGGUGAGCCCUGGCAGUAGUGCUUAUGUUACCUGCAGGUACUACAGGUGUCUGCCUAUCAUCUGUUUGUCCUCAAAAACAGGACAAAACAAGAAAUGCUGGGAGUUGUAUGUACAUUAGUGCAGGCACCAAAUCUCAGCAAUAACUGGUUGCAGAAAAAGUUCCAGUGUUUCUCAUGUUACCUGUAACCUAGGUUUGGGCCCAGCUCACAUCACUAUGGAAGAAUAUUGUGCAGGUUGAAACUUACACCCUGUAACCUAUUGAUCACAAAUAAAAACUAGCUUGUA